UACGUGAGGUGGCAAGCGUUGUCCGGAUUUACUGGGCGUAAAGAGCGCGCAGGCGGUCGAUUUGAAGUCGAAUGUGAAAGCCCCCGGCUCAACUGGGGAGGGUCGAUUCGAUACUGAUCGACUUGAAGGCAGGAGAGAGAAGUGGAAUUCCCGGUGUAGUGGUGAAAUGCGUAGAUAUCGGGAGGAACACCAGUGGCGAAGGCGACUUCUUGGCCUGUUCUUGACGCUGAGGCGCGGAAAGCUGGGGGAGCAAACGGG
rnacentral:rRNA from 1 species